AAUGAACGCUGGCGGUAGGCCUAACACAUGCAAGUCGAACGGCAGCACUGUAUGUGUUUGCUCUUACGGUUGGCGAGUGGCGGACGGGUGGGGAAUACAUCCGAAUCUUCUAUUACUUGGGGGAUCACGUAGGGCCACAGACCCUAAUACCCCAUACGACCUACGGGUGAAAGCAGGGGUUCUUCGGACCUUGCUCGAUUGAAUGAGCCGAUGUCGGAUUAGCUAGUUGGCGGGGUAACGGCCCACCCAGGCGACGAUCCGUAGCUGGUCUGAGAGGAUGAUCAGCCACACUGGAACUUAGACACGGUCCAGACUCCUACGGGAGGCAGCAGUGGGGAAUGUUGGACAAUGGGCGCAAGCCUGAUCCAGCCAUACCGCGUGGGUGAAGAAGGCCUUCGGGUUGUAAAGCCCUUUUGUUGGGAAAGAAAAGCAGCAGGUUAAUACCCCGCUGUUCUGACGGUACCCAAAGAAUAAGCACCGGCUAACUUCGUG
rnacentral:rRNA from 1 species